rnacentral:rRNA from 1 species
CAGCAGCCGCGGUAACACAGAGGGUGCAAGCGUUAAUCGGAAUUACUGGGCGUAAAGCGCGCGUAGGUGGUUCGCCAAGUUGGAUGUGAAAUCCCCGGGCUCAACCUGGGAACUGCAUCCAAAACUGGCGAGCUAGAGUAUGGUAGAGGGUGGUGGAAUUUCCUGUGUAGCGGUGAAAUGCGUAGAUAUAGGAAGGAACAUCAGUGGCGAAGGCGACCACCUGGACUGAUACUGACACUGAGGUGCGAAAGCGUGGGGAGCAAACAGGAUUAGAUACCCCCGUAGUCCCUGUCUCUUAUAC